GGAAUUUUGGACAAUGGGCGCAAGCCUGAUCCAGCAAUGCCGCGUGAGUGAAGAAGGCCUUCGGGUUGUAAAGCUCUUUUGUCAGGGAAGAAACGGGUCUUUCUAAUACAGAGAUCUAAUGACGGUACCUGAAGAAUAAGCACCGGCUAACUACGUGCCAGCAGCCGCGGUAAUACGUAGGGUGCAAGCGUUAAUCGGAAUUACUGGGCGUAAAGCGUGCGCAGGCGGUUUUGUAAGACUGUCGUGAAAUCCCCGGGCUCAACCUGGGAAUGGCGAUGGUGACUGCAAGGCUAGAGUUUGGCAGAGGGGGGUAGAAUUCCACGUGUAGCAGUGAAAUGCGUAGAUAUGUGGAGGAACACCGAUGGCGAAGGCAGCCCCCUGGGUCAAAACUGACGCUCAUGCACGAAAGCGUGGGGAGCAAACAGGAUUAGAUACCCCGG
rnacentral:rRNA from 1 species